rnacentral:rRNA from 1 species
GUAGGGGGCAAGCGUUGUCCGGAUUUAUUGGGCGUAAAGAGCGUGUAGGCGGCUUUGCAGGUCCGCUGUGAAAACUCGAGGCUCAACCUCGAGCUGUCGGUGGAAACCGUGAAGCUAGAGUCCGGAAGAGGAGAGUGGAAUUCCCGGUGUAGCGGUGAAAUGCGCAGAUAUCGGGAAGAACACCCGUGGCGAAGGCGGCAUCCUGGACCGACACUGACACUGAGGAGCGAAAGCCAGGGGAGCAAACGGGAUUAGAUACCCCGGUAGUCCUGGCCCUAAACGAUGAAUGCUUGGUGUGGCGGGUAUCGAUCCCUGCCGUGCCGAAGCUAACGCAUUAAGCAUUCCGCCUGGGGAGUACGGCCGCAAGGCUG